UACGUAGGUGGCAAGCGUUAUCCGGAUUUAUUGGGUGUAAAGGGCGUGUAGGCGGGACUGCAAGUCAGAUGUGAAAACCACGGGCUCAACCUGUGGCCUGCAUUUGAAACUGUAGUUCUUGAGUGUCGGAGAGGCAAUCGGAAUUCCGUGUGUAGCGGUGAAAUGCGUAGAUAUACGGAGGAACACCAGUGGCGAAGGCGGAUUGCUGGACGAUAACUGACGCUGAGGCGGGAAAGCGUGGGGAGCAAACAGG
rnacentral:rRNA from 1 species